rnacentral:piRNA from 1 species
AAGAAUUAAGAGAGCUCUUCACAGUUGGGG